GCAUUAAGUAAUCCACCUGGGAAGUACGACCGCAAGGUUGAAACUCAAAGGAAUUGGCGGGGGUCCGCACAAGCGGAGGAGCAUGUGGUUUAAUUCGAUGAUACGCGAGGAACCUUACCUGGGCUAGAAUGCAGUCUGACCGUGGAGAAAAGCUCAUUUCGUAGCUCUACGCAGAUUGUAAGGUGCUGCAUGGUUGUCGUCACCUCGCGCCGUGAGGUGUUGUGUAAGUCCCGGACGAGCGCAACCACGAUCAUUAGUUGCAAGAGGUGAAGCUGGGAACUCUAAGUGAAACUGCCGUCGCAGACACGAGGAGG
rnacentral:rRNA from 1 species